rnacentral:rRNA from 1 species
UCUGGUUGAUCCUGCCAGAGGUCACUGCUAUUGGGAUUCGACUAAGCCAUGCGAGUCGUGAGGGUUCGGCCCUCGGCGAACGGCUCAGUAACACGUAGAUAAUUUGCCCUUAGGUGGAGGAUACCCUCGGGAAACUGAGAAUAAUACUCCAUAGAUUUAGAAUGCUGGAAUGCUUUUAAAUCAAAAGAUUUAUCGCCUAAGGAUAAGUCUGCGGACUAUCAGGUCGUAGUCAGGGUAAAUACCUGACUAGCCUACGACGGAUACGGGUUGUGAGAGCACUAGCCCGGAGAUGAUAUCUGAGACACGAUAUCAGGCCCUACGGGGCGCAGCAGGCGCGAAAACUUCGCACUGUGCGAAAGCACGACGAGGGGAUCCCAAGUGCUGGCUCGUAAGAGUCAGCUGUUUCUUUGUCUAAAAAACAGAGAGAGUAAGAGCUGGGUAAGACGGGUGCCAGCCGCCGCGGUAAUACCUGCAGCUCAAGUGGUGGCCGCUAUUAUUGGGCCUAAAACGUCCGUAGCCGGUUCUAUAAAUGCCUGGGUAAAUCGUACGGCUUAACCGUACGAAUUCCGGGUAGACUGUUCAACUUGGGACCGGGAGAGGCUAGAGGUACUCCUGGGGUAGAGGUGAAAUUCUGUAAUCCUAGGGGGACCACCAGUGGCGAAGGCGUCUAGCUAGAACGGGUCUGACGGUGAGGGACGAAGCCCUGGGGAGCAAACGGGAUUAGAUACCCCGGUAGUCCAGGGUGUAAACGCUGCUCGCUUGAUGUUAGUCGGGCUCCGAGCCCAACUAGUGUCGGAGAGAAGUUGUUAAGCGAGCUGCCUGGGAAGUACGGUCGCAAGACUGAAACUUAAAGGAAUUGGCGGG